GAUGCUCAUAAAUCAGUUAUAGUUUAUUUGAUGGUUCCUCGCUACAUGGAUAACUGUGGUAAUUCUAGAGCUAAUACAUGCUGAAGGCCCCGACUCGCGAAGGGGCGUGUUUAUUAGACCAAAGACCAACGCCCUCCGGGGCUCGCUGGUGAAUCAUGAUAACCGCACGAAUCGCAUGGCCUUGCGCCGGCGAUGGUUCAUUCAAAUUUCUGCCCUAUCAGCUUUCGAUGGUAGGAUAGUGGCCUACCAUGGCGUCAACGGGUGACAGGCAAUUAGGGUUGGAUUCUGGAGAGGGGGCCUGAGAAAUGGCCACCACAUCCAAGGAAGGCAGCAGGCGCGCAAAUUACCCAAUCCCGACACGGGGAGGUAGUGACAAAACAUACUGAUGCAGGGCUCUUUCGGGUCUUGCAAUCGGAAUGGGUACAACCUAAAACCCUUAACGAGGAACAAUUGGAGGGCAAGUCUGGUGCCAGCAGCCGCGGUAAUUCCAGCUCCAAUAGCGUAUAUUAAAGUUGUUGCAGUUAAAAAGCUCGUAGUUGAACCUGGGGUCUGGUUGGCCGGUCCGCCUCACCGCGUGCACUGGACCGACCGGGCCUUUCCUCCCGGGGAACCGCAUGCCCUUUGCUGGGUGUGCUGGGGAUCCGGGACCUUUACCUUGAGAAAAUCAGAGUGUUCAAAGCAGGCCUAUGCUCGGAUGCGUUAGCAUGGAAUAAUAGAAUAGGACGUGCGGUCCUAUUUUGUUGGUCUCUGGGACCGCCGUAAUGAUUGAUAGGGAUGGUCGGGGGCGUCCGUAUUCCACUGUCAGAGGUGAAAUUCUUGGAUUUGUGGAAGACGAACUACUGCGAAAGCAUUCGCCAAGGAUGUUUUCAUUAAUCAGUGAACGAAAGUUAGGGGAUCGAAGACGAUCAGAUACCGUCGUAGUCUUAACCAUAAACAAUGCCGACUAGGGAUCGGGCGAUGUUACCUUUUUGACUCGCUCGGCACCUUACGAGAAAUCAAAGUGUUUGGGUUCUGGGGGGAGUAUGGUCGCAAGGCUGAAACUUA
rnacentral:rRNA from 1 species